CUACCAUGUGUGGACACAGCAAGAAGGCAGCAUCUAUAAGCUAGGAAGGAGGCCCUCACCAGACUUGGAAUCUGCUGGCUUCCUGAUCUUGGCCUUUCUAGCCUCCAGAACUGAACAUGGAUGAAGCUGGAGGCCAUUAUCCUUAGCAAACUAACACAAGAACAGAAAACCAAAUACCGCAUGUUCUUCCUUAUAAGUGGGAGCUACAUGAUGAGAUGAGAACAUACUAGAAUGAGGUGAAGCCAGAAAGGAAGAGUCAUAAUCAAAGAAGAGAGUGAUCAAGAAUCCAAAAUAGACAGAGAGAGCAGGCUCUUAGAGAAAUGGGAGAACUACCGCACUGACUCUGCACGUAGGAGACAGGCAGGAGAGGAGCGCCCCAGCCAGAGCUCAACAUGCGCAAACAGGAAGUGUGUCCGAGGUUUUCUGGAGCUCACAGGAGCCGGGGACCCACAGCCAGACGUUUAUCUGAAAGAAAAGCAGACAAGACAAACUAAAUCAGCAACCAUCCCUUUGGAUGCCAGCUGACCUCGGAUGGAGAUUUAGUGCUAGAUGUAAAAGGCUUUGUUUACAGACAAUUAAAAACCACAUAAAUUUAAAUUGUCAAAGAAGAAAUGGUUUCCAAAGCUUCUAACAGCCUGGUAGCCCCUCCUCAGCCCUGUGCAGGAAAGGCCCAGAGGCAAAUACAAAGCCACCAACCCAAAUGCCUGUGGAGUUUGCCAGAAAGCCAGAUCCUGCUGCUUCUGCUGCUUGUUACUGAUGUUGAAAAAUAAAAUCUUAUACAGCUUCAAAUGUAGGUUCUUUGAGUGCUAAUCAAACAGCAAGAAGGCAACAGAUGACCACGGAGGAGGUGGCUGCACGAAAGUACGCCACAAAGUAUGGAAUUACUGCAAGUAGGCCUUUCGGCAAUCAAUGUGUCUGAACCUUUUGUGUGCUCUCCAUUUUUUCCCACCGAAGGAACUAGAUGCAAAGAUUAAAAAGUGACACAAACACAAA
ensembl:lncRNA LINC00331 long intergenic non-protein coding RNA 331